rnacentral:sRNA from 1 species
UGCCAGAUUGGUUCCUAUAAGCUGAUA